rnacentral:tRNA from 1 species
GGGGACGUAGCUCAACGGAGAGCGCCUGCUUUGCACGCAGGGGGUUGGGGGUUCAAAUCCCUUCGUCUCCA